rnacentral:rRNA from 1 species
UUUUUAGAUUAUUUAUAGUCUAUUAAUUCAAUCCCGGGGCGUUCUAUAUAGUUAUGUAUAAUAAUAUUUAUAUUAUUUAUACCUCUAACUAGAGCGUACCUUGAGCAUAUAUGCUGUGACCCGAAAGAUGGUGAACUAUACUUGAUCAGGUUGAAGUCAGGGGAAACCCUGAUGGAAGACCGAAACAGUUCUGACGUGCAAAUCGAUUGUCAGAAUUGAGUAUAGGGGCGAAAGACCAAUCGAACCAUCUAGUAGCUGGUUCCCUCCGAAGUUUCCCUCAGGAUAGCUGGUGCAUUUAAAUAUUAUGUAAAAUAAUCUUAUCUGGUAAAGCGAAUGAUUAGAGGCCUUAGGGUCGAAACGACCUUAACCUAUUCUCAAACUUUAAAUGGGUAAGAACCUCACCUUUCUUGGUAUGAAGGUUGUGGUUGUGAUAUAAUGUGCCCAGUGGGCCACUUUUGGUAAGCAGAACUGGCGCUGUGGGAUGAACCAAACGUAAUGUUACGGUGCCCAAAUUAACAACUCAUGCAGAUACCAUGAAAGGCGUUGGUUGCUUAAAACAGCAGGACGGUGGACAUGGAAGUCGUAAUCCG